UACGUAGGGGGCAAGCGUUGUCCGGAAUCAUUGGGCGUAAAGAGCGUGUAGGCGGCCCGGUAAGUCCGCUGUGAAAGUCCAGGGCUCAACCCUGGGAUGCCGGUGGAUACUGUCGGGCUCGAGUCCGGAAGAGGAGUGUGGAAUUCCUGGUGUAGCGGUGAAAUGCGCAGAUAUCAGGAGGAACACCAAUGGCGAAGGCACCCCUCUGGGCCGUGACUGACGCUGAGGCGCGAAAGCGUGGGGAUCAAACAGG
rnacentral:rRNA from 1 species